rnacentral:lncRNA from 12 species
UAUAGUCUGUUUUGCUGAAUUUCAUCGUUUAUUCCUUCUAUUUAUCUUCCUAAAUCAAUUUAGAUGUGUUGACUCAAGCGAUGUUUGAAAAGGCUUCUGGUGAAUUCUGGACUGCCUUUGAAUAGUUCAUCCCUCAUCACAAACACCUGGAGGCAGGAAGGCAUCAGGAAUUGGCUGCACCAGAGAAUGGCUUUUCUUCCCCAGGGUGAAUGCUGGACCCACUCUGCAAAGGAGGCCAGACAAGCUCUCACAAAUAAGGUGAAAGGCACCUCAAAUCAGCUCAAGUAAGACUAGGAUGACAGGUUCCUCAGCCUGGUGGAUCUGCUGACACAGACUACUGAUUUGGGACUCAGCAGGGACACCUUGUUUCACAAGGACCCUUCAUGCCCUCUCUGUAGCUCCUCAGUAAAUCCAGUCCAAGGUAAUGAUGGGCGUUGGAAGCCACAACUCUAUUGUCCUAAGGUCAUUGAAAGUUGGUGAUCGGUCUCAUAUCCAACUUGAGAGCACCAAACCACUAGGCUGAGGUGGCAAGCAAUGUUCCCAGGCAAUAGCUCAGAAGGGAGUAGAGGACUUUUCAUAAUACUUGAGUAUCCAGACUCAUCUACAGGGAGAUCUUUGAACUUCUUCCUACCAUAGAAGCUAUGUUGGAACCCAGCCUCGGUCCCACUAAGUCCUUGUGGGAAAGAAACACUUCAGGUGGGUAAUGGUGAGUCUAUGAUGGAGAGAAAGGGACAUGAAUGGGAGAGGUGAUGGGGAGGGUAAAGGGGGAAUAAAUCUGAUUCUGAAAACA